CUGAUUAGGCAGCUCCUCCCUAUUGUGAAUCACAAGUUUGGAUCAUGUGACGUGUGCACUCCUUUACAGACAGGGGUAAAGUUAGAAGUCAAAGGAUUUUCAUUGUGACCACAGUGAGUAUUAGGCAGAAUGACUCAACAAUACAGAGAAACAUGGAAGCUGAGACCUCGGUAACCCAGUCACCACCCAGUUCUGCAGCAUUAAAUAGUGAAACAAAGUCCUGCAUUGCAGUGCUAAUCUGGGGUCUGGUCAUCAUCGGGUGCCUUUUUUAUCAUAUGAAAGAGGCAGCUCAGAGGGAUUUUCAGGACUGGUAAUACAAGAGCUGACGAUUAAAUAACCCCCACACUCCAUCACAUUAUCCAUUCAUAUCAAGGAUCAAGUGUCAGCUGGUCUGCUGGUAGUUUCAUCUGGAUUGAAUUGUGCAACGUUUUGGAAUUUUUUUUUCUGCCUAAUUUAUCUCAAAGAAUCCAAUCAUCAUGAAUAGAUUUAGAAAUAAAUAAUUUUAAAGUCACAUUUAAACAUUGAUAUCAAAGGAGACUAAGCAAAUGUCACUAUUUCUAGAAAGCAGAUAUUUAUAUUUGAAAAUAGUCUGGCAGCAGCAUUGCUAAAGUGCACGUAUGUGAAUGUCCUUUAAUGCAUCACACAAAUUUGCCUUGUGUUGUGCAGAUACAGAAGUUCUUUUGAGCCUCACUUAAAUGAUGAAGGAGAAAAUAUUUUGUAUCAAAGUAGCGGUUUAUUUUGCCAAACACUAAUGGCAACUUUAUGGCUGUAAAUGUGACUAUUUACCCCGAAAACACUGUACUGGAUAACUUGCCAUUAAUCAUAUAGAUUCAUGAGUUUUACGUGUAACAUAAACUAUGUAUAAAGCUGCUUCUAAACGUCA